GUGAACGCUGGCGGUAGGCCUAACACAUGCAAGUCGAACGGCAGCACAGUAAGAGCUUGCUCUUACGGGUGGCGAGUGGCGGACGGGUGAGGAAUACAUCGGAAUCUACUUUUUCGUGGGGGAUAACGUAGGGAAACUUACGCUAAUACCGCAUACGACCUACGGGUGAAAGCAGGGGAUCUUCGGACCUUGCGCGAUUGAAUGAGCCGAUGUCGGAUUAGCUAGUUGGCGGGGUAAAGGCCCACCAAGGCGACGAUCCGUAGCUGGUCUGAGAGGAUGAUCAGCCACACUGGAACUGAGACACGGUCCAGACCCCUACGGGAGGCAGCAGUGGGGAAUAUUGGACAAUGGGCGCAAGCCUGAUCCAGCCAUACCGCGUGGGUGAAGAAGGCCUUCGGGUUGUAAAGCCCUUUUGUUGGGAAAGAAAAGCAGCAGGUUAAUACCCCGCUGUUCUGACGGUACCCAAAGAAUAAGCACCGGCUAACUUCGUG
rnacentral:rRNA from 1 species